rnacentral:rRNA from 2 species
GGCGUUGGCGGCAGCAUUACACGUGCAUGUCGCACGCCCCGCAAGGGGAGUGGCGGACGGGUGAGUAACGCGUGGGAACAUACCCUUUCCUGCGGAAUAGCUCCGGGAAACUGGAAUUAAUACCGCAUACGCCCUACGGGGGAAAGAUUUAUCGGGGAAGGAUUGGCCCGCGUUGGAUUAGCUAGUUGGUGGGGUAAAGGCCUACCAAGGCGACGAUCCAUAGCUGGUCUGAGAGGAUGAUCAGCCACAUUGGGACUGAGACACGGCCCAAACUCCUACGGGAGGCAGCAGUGGGGAAUAUUGGACAAUGGGCGCAAGCCUGAUCCAGCCAUGCCGCGUGAGUGAUGAAGGCCUUACGGUUGUAAAGCUCUUUCACCGGAGAAGAUAAUGACGGUAUCCGGAGAAGAAGCCCCGGCUGUCUUCGUGCCGUCUUUUGCGGUAAUACGAAGGGUGCUAGCGUUGUUCGGAAUUACUGGGGGGUAGAGGGGCACGUAGCGGAUCCCUUCCCCUCGGGGGUGAAAACCCGGGAUCUCACCUCUGGAAAGUGCCUUUGAUACUUUGGUAUCUUUGAGUAUGGAACAGGUACGUGGAAAUUCCUCACUGGAAAGGUGGAAAAUUCGUACAUAUUUCGCAGGGAAGGCACCGGUGGGUUAGGGCGGCGUUAAUGGGUCCAUUAACUGGAGCCUUGAGGGGGCGAACAACACUGUCGGACUACACAGCGAUUCAUAUAUCGCUGGAGCUUACCCCGGCAUCAAAACCAUGUAAAUGUUCUGUGCCAUUGCGAGAGAGCAAUGAUUGUUCUCGAGGUGUGCACUUAUAGACACUUUACAACAUCUCCCAGCCUGCGGGGAGGUGCUCGACGGCCCCGCAUGUGUAAUAAGUCACAAACCAAAUUGUAUCGGGGUGGCCGGGCGCCCACGCGACGGUAUGACAGUUGUUUUUUAACUUCU